UCUACCUACAUGUACAUAUUACCUCAACUAACCAGUGCCCCCACACAUUGAUCCUGUACCGGUACCCCCCUGUAUAUAGUCUUGCUACUGUUAUUUUACUGCUGCUCUUUAAUUACUUGUUACUUUUAUUUCUUAUUCUUAUCCGUAUUUUUUUAAACUGCAUUGUUGGUUAGGGGCUCGAUUGUAAGCAUUUCAAUGUAAGGUCUACACCUGUUGUAUUUGGCGCAUGUGACUAAUAAAAUGUGAUUUGAUUUAAUUUGAGUGUGACAAAGUGUUCUUUUUUGGAGGUGAAGGUGCAGCAGUGGCGCAAGGUUUGCUUCGGGCAUCAGAACACACAGGAGGACCUCAUUUAAGUCUCAGGUGAACACAAAACGAAACAGUCAUCCUAGAAGUGGAGGGAGCACAGAUGAGAAGUUGCGUUGGGUUUCCAAUUCUGUCUCCUGACAUUGACCAUCCACUGCUGCAGCCUGGCUUCGUUACCCAAAGGGAAACUGUAAGGUAAAGAUAAAGGUUUAGAAAUGUAGCCUGUGUUCAUUACUAAACAAGGGAGUAAUUCCUAAAUCUUUACACGUUGUCCCUUUAUCACUAAUACAUUGAUUGUAGUUUGUGCAUUUACCAUUUUACUAUAUUUAUUUCCCUUGUUUAGAAGCUUAUUUUGUUUCCAUAGUCUGUAAUGUAUUCUAGAAAAUACACCUUAAAGACUCCAUACCAAAUAAUAUGACAUAAUGGGUUCAGAUACAAUAAAAGUUGUUUUGGAGUGUUUGUAAG
rnacentral:lncRNA from 1 species